UACGUAGGGCGCAAGCGUUGUCCGGAAUUAUUGGGCGUAAAGGGCGCGUAGGCGGCCUUGUAAGUCAGAUGUGAAAUCCCUGGGCUUAACCCAGGACGUGCAUCUGAUACUGCUAGGCUUGAGUCUCGGAGAGGGUGGUGGAAUUCCCAGUGUAGAGGUGAAAUUCGUAGAUAUUGGGAGGAACACCGGUGGCGAAGGCGACCACCUGGACGAAGACUGACGCUGAGGCGCGAAAGCGUGGGGAGCAAACAGG
rnacentral:rRNA from 1 species